CACACGUGCUCAAUGGUCGGGUUGCUACCUAGCGUAGGAUGCUAAUCUCCGAUCGUAGUCCGGAUUGGAGUCUGCACUCGACUCCUGAAGUCGGAAUCGCUAGUAAUCGCGGAUCCAAUGCCGCGGUGAAUACGUUCCCGGGCCUUGUACACACCGCCCGUCACACCAUGGGAGUUUGUUGCACCAGAAGUAGGUAGUCUAACCGCAGGAGGACGCUUACCACGGUGUGGCCGAUGACUGGGGUGAAGUCGUAACAAGGUGCCGUAGGGGAACCUGCGGCUGGAUCACCUCCU
rnacentral:rRNA from 1 species